ACCAAAAAUCUAGCCUACAACAACACUAUAACACUCGCCUCACCAUAUCAACAAUAUAAAACAUUUUAACUUUUCUAGUAGAGGUGAUCAAACAACACAUAAGCGCUUAAGAAGGAGUACCGAAAGGGAAAGAUGAAAUAAAAAUUAAAUAAUUUUUAAGUUAACUAAAGCAGAGAUCUAAACUUGUACCUUUUGCAUCAUGGUCCAGCUAGUCUAACCAAGCAAAAAAUUUUUAGUUUGAGACCCCGAAACUAAGCGAGCUACUUCAAAACAGCUUCAAGAGCCAACCCGUCUCUGUGGCAAUAGGGUGGGAAGAUUUUCAAGUAGAAGUGAAAAGCCAAACGAGCUUAGAGAUAGCUGGUUGUUCAGGAAAAGAAUAUUAGUUCUGCCUUAAAUUUUUGGAUGUCAGUAAACAGACCUUAAAAUUUAAGAGUUAUUCAAUUAAGGCACAGCUUAAUUGAAAUAGGGUACAACCUACACAUCAGGGUAAACUAUUAAAUUUUAUUUCAAGUGGGCCUAAGAGCAGCCAUCUUUUAAAAAGCGUUAAAGCUUAACUAAUUCAUUAAUAAAUUUAAUUAAUUAACAUGAACCCUCACCUGAUACUGAACGACCCCAUAAAAAUAUGGGAAACAUUAUGCUGGAACUAGUAACAAGAAUUUAACAUUCUCCUCAAUGCAAGCAUAGGCCAAAAUAGAUCAACUACUGGCUAUUAACGAAAAUGAACAAGAUACAGCAACAUAACAAGAAAACCCUGUAUAUUAUUCCCGUUAACCUAACACUAGAGCACUUUAGGAAAGAUUAAAAGAGAAAGAAGGAACUCGGCAAAUUUAUAACCCCGCCUGUUUACCAAAAACAUCGCCUCUUGACAACUAUGAGAGGUCCAGCCUGCCCGGUGAUAUUUUAACGGCCGCGGUAUCCUAACCGCGCGAAGGUAGCAUAAUCACUUGUUCUUUAAAUAGGGACUAGUAUCAACGGCAUCACGAGGGUUACACUGUCUCCUCUCUCCAAUCAGUGAAACUGAUCUCCCCGUGAAGAAGCGGGGAUGAACUAAUAAGACGAGAAGACCCCAUGGAGCUUUAAACCUUCAGCAACUCUAACAUUUAAUUCUUCAUAACCUGCAGAGCAAUGCACGUCGGUUUUAGGUUGGGGUGACCGCGGAGUAAAAAUUAUCCUCCACGACGAAAAGAACUAAGCCUUUAUCUAAGAGCAACCGCUCUAAGAAUUAGCAUACUAACGAAUAAUGACCCGAUAAUCGAUCAACGGACCAAGUUACCCUGGGGAUAACAGCGCAAUCUACUUCAAGAGCCCGUAUCGACAAGUAGGCUUACGACCUCGAUGUUGGAUCAGGGUAUCCCGGUGGUGCAGCCG
rnacentral:rRNA from 1 species